GGAGGGUGAGAAAAUAAACCUUCAACGCCUAUCUACUUCGGAUAAGGAAUUACCAUACUCGGGUUGGAGAUAUUUCCAUACACUCGUUAGAACCUCGUCUUAGAAAAAGUCUCACCUUUGGGUAAGAUUCUCUCAUUUACAGCUCAAGAGAGUUGUAGAACACAUUUAUUUCCCUGGAAAAUUAUUGGAUAUCUUCCAGCUAUAUAACUAAAUAAAACAUGAACUCGAACGGAACUACUCAGAAAUAUAUAGAUCUUUCAUAGACAUAAAAUAUCAGAAAAUCAAAAUCUUCAGUAUUCGAUAAUUUUAUUUAACUUAAAUAAACGGCCCUUUUUUUACGUGACAAUCAACAAAAUGUCGCUGCAGCUGCAAUCUUUGAAGUGCAUGGAGACAACUGGUCAGGUUUUAUUUCGCAUGUUAUUGUUGGACAUUCAACAUACUUAAAUGUGAUUACAGUGGAUUGCAUCUGAAAAUUGUACAAGUAUGUUGAAGGGAACCUUGGUGCUCGCUUUGGCAGUUUUUAUUACGAUAUAUCAAGACGCACAGGGCAGUCUUUCUGGUGAAUUCAAAUACGAAAAUGAUAGAGUAUGCAAGUGGAUUGAAAUAUGUCCGCGGAAAGGACCGGGAUCCCGACUAUUAAAAGUCAAUUGUCCAGCAAAAAAUAAUAAACCUGCCAUAGGUUGCGAAUACAAAGGUAAUCCGCAUCGAUGCUCCGAUUACAAUAGAAACCAAAGAAGCUACUACCAGUGCUUGGCAGACAGACUAGCCGAAAUGGGCGACCUUUGCAAUAUCAACAUCGUUAUCUGCAAAAGAAUGUGCGAGGAUAUUGUGUUUCAGUUGUAUUAGAACACUAAGACAGAGUAAGGAAAUCAAAAAUAUGUUUUGGGCGUGCUGGUAUCUCUCUCAACUUUGUCCUUCGAAUAUUUCCUGAAAUAAUUUAUACAAUGUAGCAAAUGUAGGAUCUUUUUAGUUCAUCGUGUUUUAUUACAAAUAUCCGUACUACGGCUACUCAUUAUCACUCAGUGGAGCUGAACAUGAAAAUCAGUACAUACUCUAAACAUGUUACAAAUUGUUUGCUAGAUUGAGAAAUGACAUAAUGUAAAAUUUACUAUUACAUUAUUGCAAAAUCCUAUGUUUAAAUUUUAUUUCAAUAAUUAUUCAAAAUAGCGUCCAUUAGAAUAAUUGCUUUGAAACUGGUACUUGCCUUAACACAUACAUGUGUUCAAAUAAGUUUAUAUUAGAUACUGCUUCGCAGUGAACAAGGCGUGAUCUGACGCUUACUAAACGCAGUAAUAUAUUUAUAUUUGACGUUUUCUCCUAGCCUCAUCUUAUAGUAUGACUAGACAUUCUUUAUCUUUAAUCAAAGAGGAGCGAAAAGAUUUGUUUGUUUUUUUCAAGUAAUAAAUCGAAUAUCCUGACUUUUGUGGAAAAGAAGUUGAAAACAUAGGCACAUUAUUCCAAGCAAGACAUAUUUUUGUAAAAUUCCUAGCUUCUCGAGAAAGGAAGUGCCUCAAUUGUAAAGCUGGAUUCUUUUGCAGUCGAUAUGAAAAUAUUUUUGUUUAACUCUGCCAUAGCUCUGAUUAUCCAUUCCAUAAUGAUAGUUGUAUAUAUAAUACAUAUAAAUUCAAAAUGUGAAUUGAUCACUGCUUUGUCGGCAAGUUGGGAUAUCUAUCACUCAAUUGAAAACUGAAAUGAAAAUCCAAUAAAUGUAUUUUUGCUCCAAUUUUGUGCCAUCUUUUGCAUAGCAGCUGUAAAUUUUGUAUCAAACUUCCUUGUGUAUUAUUCCGGACCAGGUAUUUCAAAUAUCGGAUAUUAUUUGAACACAAAACAGAAAUUCUUGAAAAUGUUAUAAUAAUAGGAUCUAUGACAAGAUAUAUAUAAAUAUAUAUGUAUAAAUCAA
rnacentral:lncRNA from 1 species